rfam:Ciona savignyi cont_35724, whole genome shotgun sequence.
GCCCGGCUAGCUCAGUCGGUAGAGCGUUGGACUCUUAAUCCAACGGGUCGUGGGUUCGAGCCCCACGAUUGGGCG